UGGGGAAUCUUAGACAAUGGGCGCAAGCCUGAUCUAGCCAUGCCGCGUGAGCGAUGAAGGCCUUAGGGUUGUAAAGCUCUUUCAGUGGGGAAGAUAAUGACUGUACCCACAGAAGAAGCCCCGGCUAACUCCGUGCCAGCAGCCGCGGUAAUACGGAGGGGGCUAGCGUUGUUCGGAAUGACUGGGCGUAAAGCGCACGUAGGCGGACCAGAAAGUAGGUGGUGAAAUCCCGGGGCUCAACCUCGGAACUGCCUUCUAAACUCCUGGUCUUGAGGUCGGGAGAGGGGAGUGGAAUUCCGAGUGUAGAGGUGAAAUUCGUAGAUAUUGGGAGGAACACCAGUGGCGAAGGCGGCUCACUGGCUCGAUACUGACGCUGAGGUGCGAAAGCGUGGGGAGCAAACA
rnacentral:rRNA from 1 species